rnacentral:rRNA from 1 species
AGAGUUUGAUCAUGGCUCAGGAUGAACGCUAGCUACAGGCUUAACACAUGCAAGUCGAGGGGAAACGACAUCGAAAGCUUGCUUUUGAUGGGCGUCGACCGGCGCACGGGUGAGUAACGCGUAUCCAACCUGCCCACCACUUGGGGAUAACCUUGCGAAAGUAAGACUAAUACCCAAUGACGUCUCUAGAAGACAUCUGAAGGAGAUUAAAGAUUUAUCGGUGAUGGAUGGGGAUGGCGUCUGAUUAGCUUGGUUGGCGGGGUAACGGCCCACCAAGGCGACGAUCAGUAGGGGUUCUGAGAGGAAGGUCCCCCANAUUGGAACUGAGACACGGUCCAAACGUCCUACGGGAGGCA